GAUUACCUGGUGUUUUAUAUAGUUCCACCUGCUGCCUUUGCUAAGUCUUUGCUGGAACAGUAGAGCAUAGUGGUUUACAGCCAGGCCUCCUGCCUGUGUGCCCUUGGAUGAGAAAUAGAGGCACAGAGAAGUGAUGUACCUUGCGCAGGAGGCCUCACAGCUGACUGCAAAAGACCAUGGAUAACUGAAACCACAGAAAGUGAAACCGUGGAUAAAGGAGGACUACUACAAGCAAAUAAGUAGCUCUCCUUUCUUCAGGGAAGCCUGUGGCAGAUCCUCCUAUUGGCUCAUUCAAUGCCAAUUCCAACCCCUUCUAGCUAGCCAUCUUGCACUCUGGAUGCUGAAAACAAAGAACUCUGCUUUCUAGUCUCCCUUGCAGCCACAGUUACAUAUAUGACCCAGGGUCUUCCAUGCACAGCUGGGAGACAUAGAAAGUGAAGAAAGUCCCAUGAGGAGACAGCUACAAAACAGCCAAUUGGCCUUUGUGGCACAGGCACUUGGUUCUUCCAGAGCUGCUAUGGCAGAGGUUCUACUGACCAAGCCCUAGUACCACAGGCACCCAAUGCUUCUGUGCACAAGUAGCAGUGGGGUUUCUAUGUUAAUCGAUCCAUGGCGUGGUUGGGUUUUUCUUCAAGCUGUACAGCAUUCAAGCUUGAUCCCUGACACUCUUGGAAAUUCUGUAAGCUACUCUAAACUAUGAAAUAAAUCCUGA